GACGAACGCUGGCGGCGUGCCUAAUACAUGCAAGUUGAGCGCUGAAGGUUGGUACUUGUACCAACUGGAUGAGCAGCGAACGGGUGAGUAACGCGUGGGUAAUCUGCCUUUGAGCGGGGGACAACAUUUGGAAACGAAUGCUAAUACCGCAUAAAAACUUUAAACACAAGUUUUAAGUUUGAAAGAUGCAAUUGCAUCACUCAAAGAUGAUCCCGCGUUUUAUUAGCUAGUUGGUGAGGUAAAGGCUCACCAAGGCGAUGAUACAUAGCCGACCUGAGAGGGUGAUCGGCCAAAUUGGGAAUGAGAAAAGGCCCAAACUCCUACGGGAGGCAGCAGUAGGGAAUCUUCGGCAAUGGACGAAAGUCUGAACGAGCAAAGCCGCGUUAGUGAAGAAGGUUUUCGGAUCGUAAAACUCUGUUGGUGGAGAAGAACGUUGGUGAGAGUGGAAAGCUCAUAAAGUGACGGUAACUAACCAGAAAGGGACGGCUAACUACGUG
rnacentral:rRNA from 1 species